ACUACGGGUGGCAGCAGUGAGGAAUAUUGGUCAAUGGGCGGAAGCCUGAACCAGCCAAGUAGCGUGCAGGAUGACGGCCCUACGGGUUGUAAACUGCUUUUAUACGGGAAUAACGCGCCUUACGUGUAGGGCUUUGCAUGUACCGUAUGAAUAAGGACCGGCUAAUUCCGUGCCAGCAGCCGCGGUAAUACGGAAGGUCCGGGCGUUGUCCGGAUUUAUUGGGGUUAAAGGGAGCGUAGGCCGCAUGUCAAGCGUGCUGUGAAAUGUCCGGGCUCAACCCGGGCCUUGCAGCGCGAACUGGCGUGCUUGAGUCCGCGGAAGGCAGGCGGAAUUCGUCGUGUAGCGGUGAAAUGCUUAGAUAUGACGAAGAACCCCGAUUGCGAAGGCAGCUUGCUGCAGCGGAACUGACGCUGAUGCUCGAAAGCGCGGGUAUCGAACAGGAUUAGAUACCCGGGUAGUC
rnacentral:rRNA from 1 species